GGACCUCAAGGAAUCCUGACUGUUUUGUCCACAGGUGACCAAUGCCACCCAGAGUUUCUCCUUCAGGGUGGAGAGAGACAUCCCGGUCGAAGGCCUGAAGCCUGCCGUGGUGAAAGCCUACGAUUACUACGAAACAGAUGAAUAUGCUGUGAUGGAUUACAACGCCCCCUGCAGUUCAG